rnacentral:misc_RNA from 1 species
GAUGAAGAACGCAGCGAAAUGCGAUAAGUAGUGUGAAUUGCAGAAUUCAGUGAAUCAUCGAAUCUUUGAACGCACAUUGCGCCCGCUGGAACUCCGGCGGGCACGCCUGUCCGAGCGUCAUUUCAACCCUCAGGCCCCCCUUCGCGGGCGGGCCUGGUGUUGGGGCCCGGCCGCUACCCUGCGGCCGUCCCCUAAAUCCAGUGGCGGCCUCGCCGUGAUCCCUUGCGUAGUAAUGCACCUCGCACCGGAGAGCGCCGUGGCCACGCCGUAAAACCCCCAAUUUUCAAUGGUUGACCUCGGAUCAGGUGGGAAUACCCGCUGAACUUAAGCAUAUCAAUAAGCGGAGGA